GAUGAACGCUGGCGGCGUGUCUAAUACAUGCAAGUCGAGCGAACGGACGAGAAGCUUGCUUCUCUGAUGUUAGCGGCGGACGGGAGAGUAACACGUGGAUAACCUACCUAUAAGACUGGGAUAACUUCGGGAAACCGUAGCUAAUACCGGAUAAUAUUUUGAACCGCAUGGUUCAAAAGUGAAAGACGGUCUUGCUGUCACUUAUAGAUGGAUCCGCGCUGCAUUAGCUAGUUGGUAAGGUAACGGCUUACCAAGGCAACGAUGCAUAGCCGACCUGAGAGGGUGAUCGGCCACACUGGAACUGAGACACGGUCCAGACUCCUACGGGAGGCAGCAGUAGGGAAUCUUCCGCAAUGGGCGAAAGCCUGACGGAGCAACGCCGCGUGAGUGAUGAAGGUCUUCGGAUCGUAAAACUCUGCUAUUAGGGAAGAACAUAUGUGUAAGUAACUGUGCACAUCUUGACGGUACCUAAUCAGAAAGCCACGGCUAACUACGUG
rnacentral:rRNA from 1 species